rnacentral:ncRNA from 1 species
ACACCGGUUCUUUUAAGAACCACCCAUUUUACAAAAAAGAAUAAA